UCCUUCCCCCCUCAAAAAAAUAAAAAAUAAAAAAAAAUUAACUCACUUAGCCUUCACAGCAUACUACCUUAUGAAGUAGACUCCAUUAUUUCCAGUCCCAUUUCACAGAUGAGGAUGAGAAAGUUUAGAGGGAUGAAAUAAGCUGGUGAGCAAGGAAAGAGAGGAGGGUCCAGGGUAGGGGAGAGGAAGGGGACCUGUCUUCCCUGAGCAAGAUCUCAGGGUGGGAGGGAGAGAAGGGAGGCUGAUGGCAGGAGGGGCUUAACAAUAACACAGCUAACAUUUAUUGAGCACUUGGUCUUGGGGAGGCACUGUUCUAAGGGGUUUACAUAUGUCACCUCACUAAUCUUCACGACUAUUAUCCUCAUUUCACAGACACAAAAACUCAGAUUGUGCACACUUAAGAGGUAGAACUGGAAUUCAAACCCAGGCAGUCUGGCUCCAAAGCCUACCCAGCUAACACUGUCAGCACCUUGAUCUUAUCAGCUAUAAUGUGUGAGGCUUAAGAGCUUGUUUUCCCCUCCAAACUAACUGCAGGAACUAAAUAGCUCCAGUUGAACUGGAUCAAGGAGACAAUUCAAGUGAAUUGAGAUUUUCCAUGUAAGAAACCGAGUCUGAAAAGUUCUAAUUACUGUCAACAGGGAAGACUGAGGCUCCAGCACAGCAGCCUCAGGCCAGAGGGCAUGGGCUGGGGGACCACUGUGCUGGUGGCCACACCGUGGUCUCUCAUCCCCACCCACCUGCCAGCCACUCUUCUACCUGGCAGGUGCAGGGGAGGGGUUGUGAAGGCUCACUCUAAAUGACACUCAUCCUCAGCCAGGCUGCUCUGCCAAGAGAUGCUCGGAAGGACAUGGAUAGUUCGGGGCAUGACCACACCACCCCUUCCAAUCCCUGGGGCACCAAGGCUUUGUUACCAGGCCACAGCUGAGUAAAUACUUCUCAGUGCUACUCUGUGAGGAGGGGGAAGGGAGUGAGGGACAGUGUGGGGGAAGGGAAGAAGGAGGCAAGACAUCUGACGACUUCACUCCCCAUGUAGCAGUUGGUAUCACAUGUCACAGAAAGAUUGCUACCCUACUAGGGCCAUGUUCCUGUCAAGCAAAGCCCCAGAAGAAGAGAAGGCUGUGUUAUUCAAUUUUAUCUCCUCUGGCAGCACUGUUGUUUUAUAUUAUAAAUGGAGGGAAAUGAUAAUUAGUUGACUGAAUGGGAAAUGACCUUACAAAAGGAAUAAGAGGCAAUGGCCUCGAAUGACACCUGUGGGGUAAAGUAUUUGGGCCAUUAUGAACACUACCCUUUGCCAGCUCAUUACUCCCCAGAGCAUCUUCAGUGUGUUCCAAUGGGGGCAGAAAGCCCCUUUAGUUUUUUUUUGGUUUUUUUUUUUUUGAGACAGAGUCUUGCUCUGUCGCCAGGCUGAAGAGCAGUGGCGCUAUCUCGGCUCACUGCAAACGCUGCCUCCCGAGUUCAAGCGAGUCUCCUACCUCAGCCUCCCGAGUACCUGGGACUACAGGUGUCUGCCACCAUGCCUGGCUAAUUUUUGUACUUUUAGUAGAGAUGGGGUUUCACCAUGUUGGCCAGGAUGGUCUCCAUCUCUUGACCUCGUGGUCCGCCCGCCUCGGCCUCCCAAAGUGCUGGGAUUAUAGGCGUGAGCCACCGCACCCGGCUGCCCCUUUAGUUUUAUAUUUUAUUAUGACUAAGCCAGACACCAAGCUAGAAAUGUAUUUAGUCUAUUUCUAUUUGGCAGUAUCUUUGUUCUAGGCAAAGUAUUAAAUCAGACACAGUAACAAUUUUAUGGCAACGUUUAAAAUGAACAAAAACAACUCUCCAGGAACUGUUUAUAUACAGCAGGUAAAGAUUUAAAGAAAUGCAGGCAUUUCUAACCAGGAUCUCAACAUUCUACCCAGGGUCAUGUAGGACAUACCAUGGCAAUCUGAUCAGGUUUUUAGGCUAACCAUGGCCAUCCUGAACCACCACUGGUGGCUUAAACCACAGGCCUGGUCUGAUAAGAAUCCCCUAUACUGUGUCGAACCCUUGGGGGUCUGUUCAUCACGAUGGGGCCAUUAGGGAUUGGAGGACCAAGGCAAGGCUUUGUUCUGGGGGAGGUCCUGUCUUAGAAAGUGUGAGGAUAUGAAACACAGGCUGCAUAUGGCGAGGGUGGGCAGCCGUAUGCAUUGUGGAAGGAGGCACCAGUGCUAGGAGAAAAGAAAGCCUCUCUAGUAGCAACGGGGCUAGCUACUCUGGCAUGGACACAGUUUCCUACCCAUUAUUGAGGAAAUGGAAGGCAGUUUUGGACACUAGAAUGUAGAGCAGGAUCUUGGCACCAUAAGCUCUCAAAGGCUCCGGCAGCCCAUCAAAGAAGUGACUCCAGCCUAGAAUUUGCACCACCACUCACGUGCUCAUGCAGCUCCACCAGGUGUUACCACUUCCAGUUUUUCUUUGGAAACAGGAGGACAGGGUGGGCCCUUUGAAACGGACAACUCAGGGCCAAGUUAUAAUUCUCCUCCAAGAAGCAGGUGUUGUUACAAACUCCUGCAACCCAUUCCUGUUCUUAAUUGAACAGAAAUGGUUAAACAGGCACAAGAGCUAAACUGGAGAAUAAACCUUAAUCCCUCCUAAUGGUGACUAAAGGCAAGAGAAAACAUCACACCCUCCCAAUGGUGAUAUACCUCACUCAACCUUUGAAAAAGAGGCAGAAUUUUAAAUUUAUUUCUGGGGGGUGUUUAAAGCCAGAAUGAAGGUUUUUAUGUUGUUUUAGGGGGGCAAAAGUUUACUACAGAGACACAUCAUGAUAGAGAAAAGAACUUGGUCUGACUUCGGCAAAGGAUUAUACCUAUCUGGGCACAAUUUUUCUAGGCCUCAGUUUUCUCACCUGUAAAAUAAGGAUGUUGUGAGCCACUGCUCCCGGCCUGAAAAAAAUGUUUUAAUAUAUAUACAUUUUAAAAAAUAGAAAUCUAGGUCUGGCGCAAUGGCUCAUGCUUGUAAUCCCGGCACUUUGGGAGGCCAAGACGGGAGAAUCGCUUGAACCCAGGAGUUCAAGACCAGCCUGGGCAACAUAGUGAGACCUCAUCUCCACAAAAAAUAAAAAUGAAAAAAUUAGCUGUGCAUGGUGGCACACGCCUGUAGUCCCAGCUACUCAAGAGACUGAGAUGGGAGGAUGGCUUGAACCUAGGAUGUUAAGGCUGCAAUGAGCCAUGAUUGCACCACUGCGCCCCAGCCUGGGUGACUGAGUGAGACCCUGUCUCAAAGAGAUAACAAAUGAAAAUCUUGUAAGGAAUCUCAAUAUUUAAUAUUUAUAAAAACAAAGCCUUUUUUAGCCAACUUUCUCUUCAACAGCUCUCACCCAGACGAGAAGUCGAGGAAAGAAGGCCUGAGGUGCUACCUUAAAACUCUAGAGCUCUACAAAGGGCAGUUAGGCCCUAAAACCUAAGUGGGUCUUACAUAGUGCAAUGGUUAAGAGUACAGGCUAAGGCUGGGCAUGGUGGCUCACACCUGUAAUCCCAGCACUUUGGGAGCCAGAGGCGGGCAGAUCACUUGGUCAGGAGUUCAAGACCAGCCUGGCCAACAUGGUGAAACCUCGUCUAUACUAAAAAUACAAAAAGUAGCUGGGCCUGGUGGCGCAUGCCUGUAAUCCCAGCUACUUAGGAGGCUGAAGCAGGAGAACUGCUUGAACCUGGGAGGUGGAGGUUGCAGUGAGCCAAGAUCACACCACUGCACUCCAGUCUGGGCAACAUGACACAGCGAGACUCCAUCUCAAAAAAAAAAUAAUAAUAAUAAUCAAGGCUCCUGAAUCAGCCGAUCUGGGUCCAAAUCCUGGUUCUUCUGCUAACUAGCCAUGUGACAUUAGGCGAGCCAAUUGAAAAUGACAGUGAAUAAUAGUAAUAAUGGUAUGAAUAAUGAUAAUGCUAAUCAUGAAUUUUUGAGAGGAUUAAAAAAUCUUUUUUUUUUUAAAGGAAGAGAUGGUAAAUUAAGGUGCUGGUACAUGGCAUAGAUAAGCAUCCAAUCAACAGUACCUGCUCUUGUUAUUACUUUUAUUACUUUCCUUCAUUUAAGGCACACAGACACAGGUGGGAUGGCACCUGCAUAACAAAAGGCACAAUUUAUCACAGUUCUCCUUCAGCUCCAGCCAGUGGGUGGCUGAAACGAUCUUAUUUCUUAUCUCAUGAUUAUUUUGUCAAGCCUUUGUUCUUUAUUGAUGAAUGAAUAACAGAGUUCCUGCCUGAAGGCAGGUGCGCCACUUUCCCAGACUGUCAGUGCACUGCCAAUCCUCUAUUGCCUCACUUUUAAUAGUGCUGAUGGCUCAUAUUUGCAGACAGUGUAGAAUUAUGCAAACCAUUUUCAUAUGCAUUAUCACUUUUGAUCCCCAUAAGAAUUUUGUGGGGCAGGGAAAAGAAAAUGGUAUUAAUUCCCAUUUUUAUAGACAUGGAAAAUGAGGCUCAAGCAAGGGACAAAAUUGCCGCAUAAGUGGUAGUUCCUGGAUCAGAUCAAGCCUUCUCAUUCAAAGGCUGGCCUUUCUCUGCUACACAGACUGGCUCCCUAUGAUGUCCUUUUCUUUUUGCUGUAAGUCUCUGGGAACCCAACCUGCUUUUCCUUCGUCUAUGGAUGAAAAACACCUGGCACAGUGAAUUCCCACAGUGAGAACCCAGUAAAUGUUAGCUGCAACUGGCUAUUAUUAUUUUGUUUAUUAUUUAAUUUUAUUCUUUUUUUUUUUUGAGAUAGGAUCUUGCUCUGUUGCCCAGGCUGGAGUGCGGUGGCGUCAUGUUGGCUCACUGCAACCUCCACCUCCUGGGCUCAAGCAAUCCCCCCCACCUCAGCUCCCCAAAUAGCUGUGACCACAGUCACACACCACCACGCCUGGCUAAUUUUUGUAUAUUUUGUAGAGACAAGGUUUCGCCAUAUUGCUCAGGCUGGUCUCAAACUCCUGAGCUCAAGUAAUCCACCUGCCUCGGUCUCCCAAAGUGCUGGGAUUACAGGCAUAAGCCACCGUGCUGGCCAUUAUUUUAAUUUUUUUAGAGAUAGGGUCUCGCUCUGUUACCCAGGCUGGAGUGCAGUGGUAUGAUCAUAGCUCGCUGCAGCCUGGAAUUCCUUGGGUUCAAGAGCUCUUCCUGCCUUAGCCUAGGCGGGAAGUAGUUAGACUACAGGCAUGCACCAUCAUGCCUGGCUAAUUUUUUCAUUUUUAUUUUUUCUAGAGACAGAGUCUUGAUAUGUUGCCCAGGUUGCUCUGGAAAUCCUGGCCUCAAAUGAUCCUUCUGCCUUGGCCUCCCGAAGUAUUGGGAUUAUAGGUGUGAGCUACCGCACCUGGCCAGUGACUAUUACUGUGAACAUUUAAAUCUCCCACUAGCUAUUCCAUCUCUUUCUAUCACUUUUUGUCCUAGGGUGGCUCCAGGGUCAGAUGUAGUCUGUCUGGCUUGUAACUUGCUUCCCCUCAAACUGACAGGCCCUUUCUAUUUUAAGUGACUUGCUACUGAUGCCUAUAAGAAAAUAGAGAAGAGACAACAAAAGUAAUAAACAGUUAAAGCCAUUAUAAGCCUGUAUCUGCAAUUUUAACAGGACUAGACACAGAUUAGGAAGAGAAAAGUAUAUUUCAUUUAUAUAUAUAAAAAAUACUUCCCACUUUUUUUUUUUUUUGAGACAGAGUCUUGCUCUGUCACCCGGGAUGGAAUACAGCGGUACAAUCUUAGCUCACUACAACCUCUGCCUCCUGGGUUCAAGCAAUUCUCAUGCCUCAGCCUCCCAUGUAGCUGGGAUUACAGGCACGUGCCACCGUGCCCGGCUAAUUUUUGUAUUUUUAGUAGAGACGGGGUUUUGCCAUCUUAGCCAGGCUGGUCUUGAACUCUUGACCUCAAGUGAUCUGCCAGCCUUGGCCUCCCAAAGUGCUGGGAUUACAGGCGUGAGCCACUGCUCCUGGCCCCACUACCUUUUUCUUUGCAAUUUAAAAUCAGGCUUAUCAUUAGGAUGAAAUUUUAUGUUAUUAGCAAAGCUGUCUGAUGAGAACUUAAGAGAGCAAGCCACAGAAAACAAAAAUGAAUAAAAGUUAUUAUACUUCCUCUGAGCUUUCCACUGUCCAAAGCAGCCACAGAAUAAAUAAGAAGUGGAACAGAUUAUGCAUUUGAUUUUCUUAAAAUGCAUUUUCCUUCUUUUCUAAAUAAAUAUAAACAGAAGCAGUGGCUAACGGGGUUACUCACUGAGGGUGAGUGGAACCAAGACAGACUAAAAAUAAAAAAGCAACAAUCUAAGUUCUCCAGUUCUUGAUGGGUGUGCGAGCAGGGGAGGGUGGUGGCCAGCAUGUAGGCGUGCUUAUGAAGACCACAGCCUGUUUUCUCGUCAGAAUCCACUAGCUUCCACCAAUGAUGAUGGAUUUACGGCUACCUAUCAACUAAAAAAACAGACGUAAGGAACAGAAACAGCAAGAACCAGAAAGAAGACUGGAUAUAGAUAAACACACACAUCUCUUCAGAUGAAUCUACCUUUGUCUUUCCUGCUGUUUUGUCUUUUAUGGGUAUAUGUAAUGUACCCUAUCUAUAAUUAUAUGGAUAUGUAUCGGGAAGAGAAUGAGGCAGCUAGAGAAAGAAGAGUGUCUGACUCUUUUGGGACUUGAUGGGAAAGGAAAUUGAUGUUAGUAGUUACUGUUCCUUAAAGCCAUCAGCUUUGUUUUUCAAAGUAUGGUUUCCUGGUAAAGGAUCCUUUGCCUGUAAUGUGAGUGAAUCACUCAUCUUAUUUUAAUAAAAAUGUGAACCAAA